rfam:Hordeum vulgare subsp. vulgare, WGS project CAJW01000000 data, contig: morex_contig_1561179
CUACUACUCCCUCCGUCCCAAAAAAAUUGUCUUAGAUUUAUCUAUAAAUGGAUGUAUCUAAAUACUAAAAUAUAACUAGAUACAUUCAUAUCUAUACAAAUGUAAGACAAGAAUUUUGGGACGGAGGGAGUACUUG